GGAUAUGAGGGCAAUCUGGCUGCGACAUCUGUCACCCCAUUGAUCUCCAGGGUUGAUUCAGCUGAUCUGGCUGGCUAGGCAGGUGUCCGCUUUCUCCUUCACUGCUCCAUCUGCAUCCCUCCUGAAGCUGUGUGCUACAUCCAAGAGGAUGACUAUCCGUGAGAGGGGAGGACCAGUCUUUGGUCAAAGGUAUACAAGUAGCUGUGCCCCCCACUAGAACCUCCAAACAAGCUCUCAAAUCACUGGUGCUCUGUAUUCAAACGCCAACUGUCCCAGUCCUGGGCCAGCUGUCUUCUAAG
rnacentral:snRNA from 1 species